rnacentral:rRNA from 1 species
AAACAGGUGCUAAUACCGGAUAAUAAAGCAGAUCGCAUGAUCAGCUUUUGAAAGGCGGCGUAAGCUGUCGCUAAGGGAUGGCCCCGCGGUGCAUUAGCUAGUUGGUAAGGUAACGGCUUACCAAGGCGACGAUGCAUAGCCGAGUUGAGAGACUGAUCGGCCACAUUGGGACUGAGACACGGCCCAAACUCCUACGGGAGGCAGCAGUAGGGAAUCUUCCACAAUGGACGCAAGUCUGAUGGAGCAACGCCGCGUGAGUGAAGAAGGUUUUCGGAUCGUAAAGCUCUGUUGUUGGUGAAGAAGGAUAGAGGUAGUAACUGGCCUUUAUUUGACGGUAAUCAACCAGAAAGUCACGGCUAACUACGUGCCAGCAGCCGCGGUAAUACGUAGGUGGCAAGCGUUGUCCGGAUUUAUUGGGCGUAAAGCGAGCGCAGGCGGAAAAAUAAGUCUAAUGUGAAAGCCCUCGGCUUAACCGAGGAACUGCAUCGGAAACUGUUUUUCUUGAGUGCAGAAGAGGAGAGUGGAACUCCAUGUGUAGCGGUGGAAUGCGUAGAUAUAUGGAAGAACACCAGUGGCGAAGGCGGCUCUCUGGUCUGCAACUGACGCUGAGGCUCGAAAGCAUGGGUAGCGAACAGGAUUAGAUACCCUGGUAGUCCAUGCCGUAAACGAUGAGUGCUAAGUGUUGGGAGGUUUCCGCCUCUCAAUGCUGCACCUAACGCAUUAAGCACUCCGCCUGGGGAGUACGA